rnacentral:rRNA from 1 species
AUACGGAGGGGGCUAGCGUUGUUCGGAAUUACUGGGCGUAAAGCGCACGUAGGCGGCGCACGCAGUCAGAGGUGAAAGGCCUGGGCUCAACCCAGGAACUGCCUUUGAUACUGGUGUGCUAGAGUCCGGGAGAGGGUAGCGGAAUUCCCAGUGUAGAGGUGAAAUUCGUAGAUAUUGGGAAGAACACCGGUUGCGAAGGCGGCUACCUGGAACGGUACUGACGCUGAGGUGCGAAAGCGUGGGGAGCAAACAGGAUUAGAAACCCCAGAAGUCC